rnacentral:rRNA from 1 species
AGAGUUUGAUCAUGGCUCAGGAUGAACGCUGGCGGCGUGCUUAACACAUGCAAGUCGAACGGUAAGGCCCUUCGGGGUACACGAGUGGCGAACGGGUGAGUAACACGUGGGUGAUCUGCCCUGCACUUCGGGAUAAGCCUGGGAAACUGGGUCUAAUACCGGAUAGGACCAUGGACUUCACGGUUUGUGGUGGAAAGCUUUUGCGGUGUGGGAUGGGCCCGCGGCCUAUCAGCUUGUUGGUGGGUAAUGGCCUACCAAGGCGACGACGGGUAGCCGGCCUGAGAGGGUGUCCGGCCACACUGGGACUGAGAUACGGCCCAGACUCCUACGGGAGGCAGCAGUGGGGAAUAUUGCACAAUGGGCGCAAGCCUGAUGCAGCGACGCCGCGUGAGGGAUGACGGCCUUCGGGUUGUAAACCUCUUUCAAUAGGGACGAAGCGCAAGUGACGGUACCUAUAGAAGAAGCACCGGCCAACUACGUG